GUGUGUUUAUUAGGAAAGACUAGAGCCUU
rnacentral:piRNA from 1 species